rnacentral:rRNA from 1 species
ACUCAAAGGAAUAGACGGGGGCCCGCACAAGCAGCGGAGCGUGUGGUUUAAUUCGAUGCAACGCGAAGAACCUUACCUGGGCUUGAACGUGCUCGGACCGCCCCGGAAACGGGGCUUCCCUUCGGGGCUGAGUGCGAGGUGCUGCACGGCUGUCGUCAGCUCGUGCCGUGAGGUGUUGGGUUAAGUCCCGCAACGAGCGCAACCCUUGUCGCUAGUUGGAUCUUUCUAGCGAGACUGCCCGGAGCAACCGGGAGGAAGGCGGGGAUGACGUCAAGUCAGCGUGGCCCUGACGUCCAGGGCGACUCACACGCUACAAUGGCCGGGACAGCGGGUCGCAAGGUAGCGAUGCCAAGCUAAUCCCUGAAAGCCGGCCUCAGUUCAGAUUGCAGGCUGAAACUCGCCUGCAUGAAGGCGGAGUUGCUAGUAACCGCGGGUCAGCAUACCGCGGUGAAUACGUUCCCGGGCCUUGUACACACCGCCCGU